UACGAAGGGGGCUAGCGUUGUUCGGAAUCACUGGGCGUAAAGCGCACGUAGGCGGAUCUUUAAGCCAGGGGUGAAAUCCCGAGGCUCAACCUCGGAACUGCCUUUGAUACUGGGGAUCUCGAGUCCGGGAGAGGUGAGUGGAACUGCGAGUGUAGAGGUGAAAUUCGUAGAUAUUCGCAAGAACACCAGUGGCGAAGGCGGCUCACUGGCCCGGAACUGACGCUGAGGUGCGAAAGCGUGGGGAGCAAACAGGG
rnacentral:rRNA from 1 species